GUAAAAAACGUUGGUUGUUUUUUUUAACCCAACCGUUGGGUUACACAUAUUGGGUCAAUCUGUUGGGUUAUCUUAAAAUUUGUUGGGUCAUUUAUUUUCUGCGUUGGGUUAUUUUUAGUUAUAACCCAACUGUUGGGUUAAAUAUGUUUCCCGCUUCACUCCGGUUCAAAUUUUAACGGUCCAGUCAGCGACUCAGUGGACAUCAGCGGCAGCCUGCCUGAUUAUGAAAGGUGAGUAACGUUAACUGUUAAUAUAAUUUUAUGAUGUAUAUGACUGUUAUAACAUUAAGUAAUGUGUACUGAAACGUUAAUUAAAUCGUAAAACUAUUUAAAAAACGAAGUUUUAAUUCCCUUUAGUCAGUUUUUUUCUUCCCCAGAGAAUCAGAUCGAUUGUAAAUGAAUAUGCUAUUCCCGUUUGCUUGCUAGCAUUAAUAAAUAAAAACAUUAUCUGAAAGACUAGCAAAACUGUUUAGAGAAGUAUUACUUAACGUUAAUAAAAAUGUCUGGUGAAAUGUGAAAGGUCGCCGAAAUCUUUAGGCUAUAAAAGCCGCACGGACCAUUUAUCGGAUCGGACCAGUGAAUGAAGCUGCUCGAGCGAGCCGAGCUCACACAUCAGUCAUACGACAGACGCAGAUUCAGUGAGAAGCGUUUGAAUUCGCGGAAUUUUCUGUUUUAAAAGUUCACAAUUCAGACGAAAGAGCGCAGCCGUAAGCCAAUCCGCUCUUUCAGCAGAAAUUCGUACCAGCGCCCCAAACUUACAUAACGUUACUCCUACAACAGACGUUUAAGAGGGAUAGCGUAAAACAAAAGCCAUUCGUCCGUGUAUCAGAAUUAUUUGAAAGUGUUAAAAUAAUAAUAAUAAUAAAAAAAUACUUACAUAGGCUAUAAUUGUUUUAUAUAGCCAUGCAUGUUGUAUUAAAGCCAUCACAGGAAUAAUGGAAUAGCCUGUAAUUAUAGUAAUUUUUUCUUAUGAAGCUAUAACAAUUUUGCAUUUAUAUAAAAUGUGUUAUACUAAACAUGUUUCUUAUGUUUUAGAUAAAUGGAUUUCUUUGUAAAGGAAAGAUUACAACAGUGGAACCUCUGCAAUUUAAUAGAAACAUUUCAAGCCUGGUUUCUUCUCCCUCUGCCACCAAAAAGGAGCUCUUUGCCACAGUUGCCUGUGACUUGCUCAUCAAAGCAUUAAAGGGUUUGUUCACCCAAAAAUGAAAUUUCUGUCAUUAAGUACUCACCUCCAUGUCGUCCCAAAACCGUAAAAUAGUCAACAUGACUACAGUGGUUCAAACUUAAUGUUAUGAAGCGACGAGAAUACUUUUUGUGCGCAAAAACUAAAAUAACCAUUUUAUUCAACAAAUUUUUCUGUCCCCUGUCAUACUGCUAUGCUAUUUUCAUUGCAGAGCUUCAGUGUUUACAGUACUGGCCAAUGCAUGCGUGUGAUGCUGACGGAGGAGCCGUUCAAUAAUGAGUCAGCGUUUGGAUGUGAGUACACGGAAGCUCUGAACUGCAUUCACUACGUCAACUGCGUUGGUACUAAUAUGGUGCACUACCUCAAUAAUGAGACAAGCCAGGAUCCACAUGUCUUGGUGCUUGGAGACAAAGAAAAUUCCUCCCAAGUUUUUAUCAUUUUCAUUGGAGAGGCAGUUGAAAAGGAGACCUUACUUCAAGCAGUGAACGUAUGCUUCAAAAUGUUCUACAUCUAUGACAUAAACUACCCAAAGCCCUCUCCUCCAAUUUGGGAGUUCUUGCAGCAUGCAGUCUAUAAUAUUCCUGGAGGAGUUCCUUUUGCACAUUGCUGCCUCCUAAAAAACUUUGUAUUCAAAGUUACUGAUCAUCAGUAGAUCCAGUAGCCAAAACACAAAUUAAAGGGUUAGUUCACACAAAAAUGAAAAUUCUGUCAUUAAUUACUCACCCUCAUGUUGUUCCAAACCCAAGACCUCCGUUCAUCUUUGGAACACA
ensembl:lncRNA